rnacentral:tRNA from 1 species
AGGCGGUUAGCUCAGAUGGUUAGAGCGCUACGUUGACAUCGUAGAGGUCGUUGGUUCGAUCCCAAUACCGCCUA